CUCCUCCGGGUAAACAACGCCCUGGUCACUCAGGUCGACGCCAUUGUGGUUGCACGGAAGAUAAUUGUCAAGAGCAUCAAGCGUCCCCUGAACUUAUACAGGAUACAAUAUAUUCUGGUGAUACAGCCCCGUGAAUGUAUACAGGAUACAAUAUAUUCUGGUGAUACAGCAGGGAGGCCUAUUGCACAAUGCUUGAUGAUGAUGUAGGAGAUAUUGAAGAAGCUGUUGGUGAUAAUUAUGAAGUGGCAAUGGUGAGAUGACCUGGUGAAAUGAGAGAUGAACCCUCGUCCUCCCUGUGGUGAAAUGAGAGGAGAUGAUCCCUCGUCCUCCCUGUGGCGAGAUGAGAGAUUAACCCUCGUCCUCCCUGUGGUGAAAUGAGAGAUUAACCCUCGUCCUCCCUGCGUCGCCUCAGUAGGAAGUUUCAAGGACCAACAACACAUCUCGGUAUGACAAGCUAAGACUCAACUAAACAAACUGAUGAAACACCUCUGACCUGUGGGACACACUUGUAUGUGAUGCCAUCAACAGCAACUGAUGAAACACCUCUGACCUGUGGGAGAUACUUUCUCCAUCACUGUCUAAAGUGGACCUGAAUUGAGCUGGACCUGAUGUGAACUAGACUAAAGUGGGCUGGACGUGCAAGUGAAUGAGAUCUGAAGUUAACUGGACCUAAAGGACUAGAUGGUAAUUACUUGUAAUUACUAUUUUCUGGUACUUUGAAUAUUAGGAAGGUUCUACAGGCAUUCCCCAGUUUAUAAGAGAGUUCUGUUCCUGUAAAACCUUUAGUAAAUCAGAUAAAUUUUCCCAUAGACUCCCAUUAUAAAAGCCAAGAUACUUUUCUAUAAUGAAAAUACUAACCCAAAAUGUCUUAAUCCUUAAGCCCUGGGUGACGUUGCAGAACGUCCGCCUAUUUUCCCAUGACACAGAGUGAGAGUUAACACUGUGGUGUUAAUAACUUUAAUAAAGUGAGGAUAUUACUUCAAUAAUUAUGUAAGAGAUAAAAUCACAAAGUAACUUCAUGAAAUUACCGUUUACUGUAUCUUAAAGUAUAGUUCAAGUCUUAAUGAUCAAAUUUUUAUGUAAAAAAUUGGGGUCAAACUAUACACGCAUAAUAUUUUUGAGGGGUUACAAUUUAUGCAUUUCCAUGGGUCAUUUACAGUGAAUGAUAGUACCUGGUACAGUACAUGCUUAUGGUAGGUUAACCUUACCAGUAAGCUCCUUUAUCCUGGGCUUGCCUGUCUACCUCAAGAUCAUUUUUUUAUGUAGCUACAGGAAGAGCAGAACCUUUCACUAUACAGUAUAUGCUGCUUUAAAUAUACAAAUGCCUGAUAGAAUUGAUUUAGAUAUUUUUCUUUGCAUCUGUUUAAAUUACUGGGAGAUUAUCAACUUUCCCCACCUGUGAGCUGUAUGCCAUGUUAUGGUCAGAGUGAGGGAAGAGUGGACAAAAGUUAAUUGAGAGGGAAGACUGCUGGAGACAUAAUUGAAGAGUAUUACAGUGAGGGAGGGAAGGCUGGUGAUAUGAAUUAAAACUAUACUCAAGUAACGUAUAUGUGGGAGAAACUUGACUAGAACAUAAGACUUUACUGUACUGUUAUAAGGGCCUGUGCCUCUUAUAACAAUUUUACUUAUAAUCAUUGGUAGUGUGACGAGAGGAGGCUCGGGGGUAUAUGUAAUGAUAGUAUCAAGUAAUAGGGAAGAAAUAACGGUAGAUACUGUAGGUAAAUAAUAGACACAAUAUACAAAUACAAUAUUU
rnacentral:lncRNA from 1 species